CCUACGGGAGACAGCAGUGAGGAAUAUUGGUCAAUGGACGCAAGUCUGAACCAGCCAUGCCGCGUGCAGGAAGACGGCUCUAUGAGUUGUAAACUGCUUUUGUACGAGGGUAAACGCAGAUACGCGUAUCUGUCUGAAAGUAUCGUACGACUAAGGAUCGGCUAACUCCGUACCAGCAGCCGCGGUAAUACGGAGGAUUCAAGCGUUAUCCGGAUUUAUUGGGUUUAAAGGGUGCGUAGGCGGUCGGAUAAGUUAGAGGUGAAAUCCCGAGGCUCAACUUCGGAAUUGCCGCUGAUACUGUUCGGCUAGAGAGUAGGUGCGGUAGGCGGAAUGUAUGGUGUAGCGGGGAAAUGCUUAGAGAUCAUACAGAACACCGAUUGCGAAGGCAGCUUACCAAGCUACUUCUGACGUUGAGGCACGAAAGCGUGGGGAGCAAACAGGAUUAGAUACCCCGGUAGUC
rnacentral:rRNA from 1 species